CCUUUGACCAAUAAUGCUCAAGUAUGCUGUCAACACUCAUACAGGUCAUCUCUAUUGUGUCUCAAAAUUUUGCAAAUUCCCUGACUCUUCACGAGGAUUACCCAGGUCUAAGUUUUGCUAAAUUGAAACAUAGUGAGAUAUUCUCUUUCUGAAGUUAAUCAGGAGUGGUCAAUCUUUUUUUGACUCACACACUGACUUCACAAAUACUUGACUGUACCCAAAAAUCUUUCGAACC
rnacentral:lncRNA from 1 species